rnacentral:rRNA from 1 species
UAUCCUUACGGCGGACGGGUGAGUAAUGCUUAGGAAUCUGCCUAUUAGUGGGGGACAACAUUUCGAAAGGAAUGCUAAUACCGCAUACGUCCUACGGGAGAAAGCAGGGGAUCUUCGGACCUUGCGCUAAUAGAUGAGCCUAAGUCGGAUUAGCUAGUUGGUGGGGUAAAGGCCUACCAAGGCGACGAUCUGUAGCGGGUCUGAGAGGAUGAUCCGCCACACUGGGACUGAGACACGGCCCAGACUCCUACGGGAGGCAGCAGUGGGGAAUAUUGGACAAUGGGCGCAAGCCUGAUCCAGCCAUGCCGCGUGUGUGAAGAAGGCCUUAUGGUUGUAAAGCACUUUAAGCGAGGAGGAGGCUACUGAAGUUAAUACCUUCAGAUAGUGGACGUUACUCGCAGAAUAAGCACCGGCUAACUCUGUGCCAGCAGCCGCGGUAAUACAGAGGGUGCAAGCGUUAAUCGGAUUUACUGGGCGUAAAGCGCGCGUAGGCGGCUAAUUAAGUCAAAUGUGAAAUCCCCGAGCUUAACUUGGGAAUUGCAUUCGAUACUGGUUAGCUAGAGUGUGGGAGAGGAUGGUAGAAUUCCAGGUGUAGCGGUGAAAUGCGUAGAGAUCUGGAGGAAUACCGAUGGCGAAGGCAGCCAUCUGGCCUAACACUGACGCUGAGGUGCGAAAGCAUGGGGAGCAAACAGGAUUAGAUACCCUGGUAGUCCAUGCCGUAAACGAUGUCUACUAGCCCGUUGGGGGCCU